AAAAAAACCAAAAAAAAAAAACAAAACCAAAACAAAACCCCAUCCAAACCCGAGAGGGAAAGGGAACCCCCCCGCCCCGCAGAAGCAUCACAGAUGGCAACGCCGCUUCUGCACACCUCACUUGGAAGCAGUGAGCGCUGCGGGGGGGGGCAGGGAUGGGGGGGGGGCUCUGCAGUCCCUAUCGGGACGUCCCCACCGCCCCCUUUCUUCCCCUCCCCCCCCCGGGAUGGUUUGGACGAUGCUCCGAAGCAGCCACAGAUGUUCCCCCGCUCCCCCCCUCCCAGAGCCCAGCGCUGUCCAACCCCUUCGGGGCAGAGCGGCGGGGUGCGGGUAAAGCUAAGCGUGCCCCCCCGUGCGGUGAUCGAUGCACACAGCAGCGCGUCGCUCGGUGGGGGGGUGGGGGGGGUCCGUGUGCACCGCCCGGGGCUCUGCCCCCCCACGGGGGUCACCGCGGCGUGUUGGGGCGGCGCCAUGCCGGGACCGCCGCCCCCACGGGCCGUAUAACCGCGGCGGGUCCGACUGCCCCGCGGCGCUCAGCCGCCCCCCCGCGGCUCCGCUGCUCGCCGGGACGCACAGCCGCGGGGCGGAGCGCAUCGCGGAUGGCGGUGAAGGACGGAGCGACAACUCGGCGCGCUGCACUGAGACUCACUUUAAAUUAACUUAAGAGACAAAGAAGCAACAGAAAAAAAAAGACCCCCAGGGUUCGCUCCGCAGCGCAGCGCGCGGGGAUCCUCAGCUCCUCCUCCGCCGGGCACGACGGGCGGCCCCGCGCUGCGCUCCCUGCGGGGUUUUCUUUUUUUAUACCUUUUUUUUUUUUUUUUUUUCUUUUUUUAAUCUUUUUUGGCGGAUGCGGAACGCGAGAGCGGCCGGGCCGGGCGGGGGGAGGCGCCGCUCUGCUGCGUGGGGGCGUCGGGGCGCUCCCACCCCACGGCACCGCGGGCACCGUCCGGCACGGCCGGAGGGAGGGGAGCCCCGCACCGCUGCGCCGCCCGCGCUCACUUAUGGCGUUUGGUGCUUUUCCUCUUCCUCCUCUUGAAGAAACAGCAGCACUUUGUAUCGUCGGUCACCUCCACUUCGGUGGGGGCGGUGAUGGGCGCGUUUGAGUGCCCCGCCGUCGGGUCGUCCGUGUUCAGCUCUCCGUUGGUGGAGCUCAUCACCUGGUGUUUGGUGUGUGGCUGUGCUUUGUCUCUGCUCGGGGGCUGCACCUGCACCUCGCUGUGCAUCGUGCCGAUGGGGGUGGGCAGCGGUUUCCCGGCCCAGUCGUAUUCGUAGUCGAACACAUAACCGUUCCUCUCAAACAGAUCCGUGAAGAGCUUCCGCAGGUAAUCGUAGUCCGGCUUCUCAAAGAAGUCCAAGCGCCGCACGUAGCGCAGGUAUGUGGCCAUCUCCUCUGCGGGGACAGAGGGGGUCGGUGGGGGCGGGGGUGGGGGUUUGGGGCCGGGUUUGGGGCCACGCUGAGCGGCCUCACCUGGAAAGUUCUCAC
rnacentral:lncRNA from 1 species